AACGAACGCUGGCGGCAGGCCUAACACAUGCAAGUCGAACGCCCUAGCAAUAGGGAGUGGCAGACGGGUGAGUAACACGUGGGAACCUUCCCUAUAGUACGGAAUAGCUCAGGGAAACUUGAAGUAAUACCGUAUACGCCCGAGAGGGGAAAGAUUUAUCGCUAUAGGAUGGGCCCGCGUCGGAUUAGCUAGUUGGUGAGGUAAUGGCUCACCAAGGCGACGAUCCGUAGCUGGUUUGAGAGAACGACCAGCCACACUGGGACUGAGACACGGCCCAGACUCCUACGGGAGGCAGCAGUGGGGAAUAUUGGACAAUGGGCGCAAGCCUGAUCCAGCCAUGCCGCGUGGGUGAUGAAGGCCUUAGGGUUGUAAAGCUCUUUUAGCAGGGAAGAUAAUGACUGUACCUGCAGAAUAAGACUCCGGCUAACUUCGUGCCAGCAGCCGCGGUAAU
rnacentral:rRNA from 1 species